rnacentral:rRNA from 1 species
AUGUUUGCAUGGCAACCGUCUGACAUCCCUGGUGUUCCCAGGAAAGUAAUUGAGCACCAUCUUGCCGUCUGUCCUCAUGCGCGGCCCGUCAAGCAGAAAGUCAGGAAGCAGGCAGUGGAGCGCCAAGAAUUUAUCGCGGAAGAAAUCAAGAAGUUGGAAGCAGCAGGCCUUGUCAGAGGAGUGCUCCAUCCUACGUGGUUGGCCAAUCCUGUAGUCGUGCGCAAGGCAAACGGGAAAUGGAGGCUUUGUAUCGAUUUUACCGAUGUUAAUAAAGCUUGUCCCAAAGACCCAUUUCCCUUGCCAUGCAUCGACCAGAUUGUUGACUCCACGGCCGGAUGUGACUUGCUUUCAUUUCUUGAUGCAUACUCAGGAUACCAUCAGAUCUUCAUGGCAGAAGAGGAUGAGGAGAAGACCGCAUUCAUCACCCCAUGUGGCACAUACUGUUUCGUACGGAUGCCUUUUGGUUUGAAGAAUGCUGGUUCAACAUUUGCAAGAGUAGUCCAUGAUGCUUUUGAGCCACAAAUGCACAGAAAUGUGGAAGCGUACAUGGAUGACAUAGUAGUCAAGAGCAAGGACAGGGCAACUCAGAUCCGAGAUUUAGACGAAACCUUUACAAAUCUGCGCAAGAUCAACCUCAAGCUUAACCCCGAGAAGUGCGUGUUUGAAGUCCCCUCCGGCAAGCUUCUCGGGUUCUUCGUGUCUCAGCGGGGCAUUGAAGCCAAUCCCGACAAGAUCAAGGCCAUUGAGCAGAUUGAAGCACCAAAGUGCGUCAAGGAUGUACGAAGACUUGCCGGUUGCGUGGCUGCUCUCAGCAGGUUUAUUUCUAGGUCUGCUGAGCGCGCCCUGCCAUUUUUCAAAAUAUUGAAAAAGGCAGGUCCAAUGAAAUGGACUCUGAAAGCGGAGGCUGCGCUGCAGGACUUGAAGAAAUACCUGUCCUCCACUCCAAUACUUGUCGCACCUAAGCCACAAAAGAAGUUGUUGCUGUAUAUAGCGGCAAUCAAUCAAGUGGUUAGUGCUGCGUUAGUAGCGGAGAGGGAGGCGGAUGAUGAGCCAGCAACCACGGCAAGUACUGUUGGAUUUCGUAGUAAUUUCAAAAAUUUUCCUACGUGCACACAGGAUCAUGUGAUGCAUAGCAACGAGAGGAGAGUGUUGUCUACGUACCCAACGCAGACCGACUGCGGAAGCGAUGACACGAUGUAG